UGACCCCUGUGGUGUGCGUGAUGGCGAUGACAUUUGAAAGAACCGAUGCCCUCGCAAAGGGAGGUCAGGCCUUGACGGAUCGGAAACGCCUGCAUGACAGGACUUUCGGACGCAAGCAACGACUGCCCACUUUGAAUUAGAGGGUUCUUUUCAAAGGCGCCGUUCACGGCUCUUGCGGAGGUUUG
rnacentral:other from 1 species